GACGAACGCUGGCGGCGUGCCUAAUACAUGCAAGUCGAGCGAAAUUCUUCUGGUGCUUGCACUAGAAAGACUUAGCGGCGAACGGGUGAGUAAAACGUAAAGAACCUGCCGCAUAGACAGGGACAACCAUUGGAAACGAUACCUAAUACCGGAGAACAGUAUUUCUAGCAUGCGAGAGAUGUAAAAGUUGGUUAUGCUAACACUAUGAGAUGGCUUUGCGGUGCAUUAGCUAGUUGGUGGGGUAAAGGCCCACCAAGGCGACGAUGAAUAGCCGACCUGAGAGGGGGAUAGGACACACUGGGAGUGAGAGACGGCCCAGACUCCGACGGGAGGCAGCCGUAGGGACUCUUCCGCGAUGGGCGAAAGCCUGACGGAGCAACGCCGCGUGGGUGAAGAGGGAUUUCGGGUGGGAAAGCUCAGUUGUCAGGGAAGAAGGGAUAUGUAGUAACGAGACAAGUCAGAGACGGUACCUAAGCAGUAAGCCACGGCUAACUCCGUG
rnacentral:rRNA from 1 species